AGCUGCGGCUGCUGAGCCGAGCCCCGGGUUUGCGGGGCGGCUGGGGGCGGGGCUGCAGCCGCCGCCGCUGUCCCCGCCCGGUGCCUCCUGCGGGCCGCCGCCCCGGCUCGCGGCGCGCCCUCCCGAGCCUCGGAGUCCUCUCCACCUGGCGCUGUGCGAGAGUUGUUCAGGAACCACCGAGACAGACAUGGAAUGACCUAGUACCUUUAGAGAUGACUAUGAGAAUCAUGUGGAAAACAAAAUAGUCCAGUCAAAGCUACAUGAGCAAUCUCAUGGAUACCUAGUGACAGCUGGGACACAUGCGUUCCAGAGCUGGAAAGUGUGCAGCCUCUGAGGCGUCUUCUCCUUCCAUCUCCAGCAGAAAUUCUUUCCCCCAGAUCCAUACAACUUAUUAGAUGAAGCACUCUCCAUCACCUGACUCAGCUUCACAGUGUCCUGCUCCCAAGGUUCCAGGUGAGAGGAAGUCCACUCAGCUUGGGCUGGAGGCCAUGUGGUAAGAAUGGCAGCUCUUUCCAAAAGCUGCUGAUGGCUUACGGUCUCUAAGAAGGUGGUGUAGUGGUGGAGGUGGGAGUGGCAAUAAUUGGCAACUCUAGGAUAAUCAUAGUGACAAUGUUCAAGGGUGAUUAAAGGCUCCUAGCUUUGACCAUUAAUUACUUAUUUUAAAAACCUUUUUAUGGAAGCAUAAUAUACAUAUAGAAAAGGACAUACACGGUAAGUGUACAGGUUGAUGAAUUUUGACAAACUGAACGUACCUGUGUGACCAGUACUCAGCUCAGGAGACAGCAUUACCAGCACCCACGUAGCCCCUUUUGCUCCCCUCUAGUCACCAUUCUUUAAGGGCAGAUUCGUUUUGCCUGUUUGUAUACUGUAUGUAAAUGGAAUCAUACCUUAUAUACUUUUUCAUGUCUGGUUUCUUUUACUUAACAUUGUUUGUGAGAGUCAUCAAUAUUGUGCAUAUUUGUACAGCAUUCAUUCUCAUUGCUGUAAAGGAUUCCAUUGGGUGAAUACAUAUACUUUGUGUAUCUAGUCUACUGCUGAUAGACAUUUGGGUAGUUUUCUGUUUUUGUCUCUUCCUAAUGGUGCUGUUGUGCACUUGUUGAACAUGUACACAUUGCUACUGAUUACUUUUACCAUGAGAGGCUUAUACAUGGUGUGGUGAAUUAUCUUCUAUUCCAUUUAAUUGAAUUGAUGGUCUCUAAUGAGUGAAUAUUGUUAUGCUUUUUAUCUGGAAAUUUAUCUUUUUUUUUUUUUGUCUUUUUUGAGGAAGAUUAGCUCUGAGCUAACAUCUGCUGCCAAUCCU